CUUGUCUAAAAUAAGAGACCUGAUCCAGAAGGGACUUGAGGACAGUUAGACCCAAUCUAAAUAGACCCAAAGGUUGUAUUGACCCCUAAAAUGACUUGUCUAAAAUAAGAGACCUGAUCCAGAAGGGACUUGAGGACAGUUAGACCCAAUCUAAAUAGACCCAAAGGUUGUAUUGACCCCUAAAAUGACUUGUCUAAAAUAAGAGACCUGAUCCAGAAGGGACUUGAGGACAGUUAGACCCAAUCUAAAUAGACCCAAAGGUUGUAUUGACCCCUAAAAUGACUUGUCUAAAAUAAGAGACCUGAUCCAGAAGGGACUUGAGGACAGUUAGACCCAAUCUAAAUAGACCCAAAGGUUGUAUUGACCCCUAAAAUGAUUUGUCUAACUUAAGAGACUUGAUCCAGAAAGGAACUGGAGGACAGUCAGACCCAAUCUAAAUAGACCCAAAGGUUGCAUUGACCCCUAAAAUGACUUGUCUAACAUAAGAGACCUGACCCAGAAGGGACUGGAGGACAGUCAGACCCAAUCUAAAUAGACCCAAAGGUUGCAUUGACCCCUAAAAGGACUUGUCUAACAUAAGAGACCUGAUCCAGAAGGUCGUUGAGGACAGUCAGACCCAAUCUAAAUAGACCAAAGGUUGCAUUGCCCUUAAAGUUAAACUGGCUCAUGAAUACUGUUGACCAGCAGUCAUUACCCAGCAAGCUGUGCUGUAACAUCAGCUAUAUGGACAUUUAAAAUGAAUGAUCUCAUGGGGAAAUGUUAAGGCCGUGAGUGACGCACUAAGUCAACCUUGAGCCGCGAUGGACCGGCUGUUUCUGAUGGCUGGCGUCGAAUCUGCCCAAAAAACACAAUAUGGCAAACGUACAAUGCGAUAUACAUAGCUACUUUUGUAGUUAUUUCAACAAUAACAAAAUAACAAAACUUAACAGACCUCCCUCUUUCGGCACCAUCUACAACAUAAACAAUUAUCCCUCCGAGCAAGCAAGCUACCCUACAAGCCAGCCGACCAGCCUCUAAAUCAGUUGAAUAACAACUUAAUGUUUCAUUCACACACUCUUGUCACAUCGUAGGAAAGCACAUUACUAUCGCCAUGUGACAAUUUUGUUCAGCUAAUGUAAUUCCACCAUGAGCUGCAAACGUGUAUUAAAACUCUAUUGUCACAUGCAAUUCUACCAUAGACUGCAAAAAUAGUGGAUGUAGCAGCAGUGACCUCACCCAUUGGUUUGUGGACUGCCGUUUUGAAGCCUCGAGUUUGGCAAUUUGGCGUGGCCAUCUUGGUUUAUUGAAACCGGUCUUGAUGCCAUCAGCAAUGGUGCAGCGCUAAGCUAAAUGCUAAAGAGGGAAAGGGAGUCAUCCAGUGGAGAUAUACCGACGGUGAAACUACAUGAACGGCUGUACGGCAAAUCCAAAUCGGUAGCUGGCUAGCUUGGUUGGCAGAACGAGAUAUUUUUAGGUGACAAAAAGGUUCCAAUCAACUUUGAUGAAGUGUGAGAAGAUCAAAGUUUGAGAUGAAAACACAGACAACACCCAAACACUAGUUCACGGCUAUUUUGAUGUCAACAUUAGCAUCGCUAAUCCUCUGUCCUGAUUGACAGGUCCUGAAGUAUCCUCUGCUUUAUUGUCUAUUUAAACUUUAAAAAUGGCCCCAUCAUUUACUUAUUUAAUUUAAUUUUAGAUUUUAUUUAUGAACAAGUUUAUUGAAGUAAUGACUGAGUGAGAAGUAGGGUCAUUUCCUCAUAGACAUCUAUUGAAACUGAGUACUUUUUGAAGUCAGUGGAGUAGUUCCUCACUCAAGGACACAAUGGACAUGUGGUUAAAGGAAGACCGUUUUGAGAUGUAUGGAGCUAGGUUUGUUGUUUUAAAAAUUUUAAAUGUACAUUUAAACUUUAGUUAGUCUCAAAUAUUAAUAUUUUUUGCAAUUGGUAUCACUCAAAUAUUUUUUUUCUCUCGUAAAAUGCUUUUUUUGCUCUCAGUGUGAUAACGUAUUCCCUCAAACAUUUUUUUUUCUCUCAGAUCAUUUAUUUUUGAAAUUAUAAUAAAGAAACAAAUCUAGCUCCAUACACAUAGAUAUGGCCAAACAAAUAUAUUAUCAAUAUGGCUGCUGAAGAACAGGCGCUCUGUCUCUGAAACCUGUCUUAUGAAGCCUACAUUAAAGGACUAAGCCGUGAAACAAUGCACCUGGAACACAUCUCAGCCAGAUGCUUAAAACUUAGUUACCUCAAUGUUUUACAGUUUCCACUCAUAGGCUGAACAUUGUAUUUAUAAUUUCUUUCUCAUUCAUUAAAACCAAAAGCAAAAUAUACUAAUAUUCUUUACAGAUCUCAAACACUCAUCAACCAACAAGUGGAAGAACCUAAGGGUCCUGUCUUGCACCCGGCGCAGCGCAAAUCCCGUUUCAGCAUAUACACCUGCGCCCAUGGGUGUUCUGGUCUUAAAGGGAGGUGUGUUCAGGUGCAUUCUGGGCGUAUCGCUAUCUUGAGGCAGCGGGAAGUGAUCGAUUGACCAACAAAAACCUGGUCUAAAGUCAAUAACGCAGCAUUUCAUUGUUAUUUUAACAGCGCAUUAGUAAAAUGCACCUAGGCUUAUACACAGCGUGCACACACUAUGCUUGUUACACAAACACACACACACACAAGCAAAAGAUCACAAAUAAAAAUAUUACAGUGCAAAUCCUUCAUCUCCAUCAUAAUAGCAAUGCACCUUGGUCCAUACGUGCUUUUAAAGGGAAUGGGAGAUGACUUCUGAUUGGUUGAUUGCAUGUUGCGCCCAAAACACACCCAUGAAUUAAUGAAGACACUGAGUACAACCUUUUUGAACCAUGGGCCCGACGCACAAACCCCUUAUUUUCCGCGAAAGUGGAUUUUGACACGCCCUAAACGCGCCAUGCGCUUCACGCCGUGCACUUAGAUCGCUAAAACAGGGCCCUAAAGCUCCUGAGGGUUUUGGAGAAAAUACCGUGCCGAGUGCAUUAUGAACAGUUGAAGGGGUCUGUUUAGAAAACUUGAAAUGUCAGCAGCCGUUGAGAAAUGAAUCAUCGACGUCUGCAAACCUCCGUUGACACACAUCGUCAUUCAAAGAAGCGGUAUCGCGUCCCUGAUUGCACCUUUAAAUACGUGGAUUGAUCGUUUCAAAAAGAUCUGUAUUUGUCAUUGCUAGACACUUUCAUUUUAAAUGUGAGUGGUCACACAUGUGAAAACACUUUGGAAUCGGUGUAAGCAUGUGUGUUUUUUGCAACAGUGCAUGAGUAGGUACGUACAAAUGUGGUGUGUUUUUGUGUUAUAUGUAUUCAUUAUUAUAGAGUCACCCUUGAGGAAUUUUACAUUUAUGAAUAUCUUGAUUCAUUUAUAAAGCCUUUGAAGAUUUUCUAUGCGGGACACUUUAUGUAUGCUGCCAAAAAGAGUCAUAUAGACUCUUGUCUGACAAAUAUUGCACUAGUAUGUACAGUAUUAUAGUAACUCACCUGGUGAGGGGAUAAUUAUCCAAAAUAACUGCAAUGUGCUUCAACGCACAAACUUUGUAUCGUGCCAAAAUGAUGUGCCAGCUUUCACUGUGAUGAGAAACUACACAACUCUCAGUGGGUUUUGAGAGAUCAUAUGGUUUGUAGCAUCAUACAAACUUGAACUCAGGUUUUAAAAGAUCAUCAGCAACUUUUUCAAGACGUUCCAGAAACGCUCAUGUUUUCUCUAGAGAGGUGUUUCGUAACGCAGGACUGCAGUGGAGCCCGGGCUUACGUCAGUACAAAUCGUUAUUUUCUAGUUUCAUAAAACCGGUUUGAAUAAGUCUAACCUAAGUUACUAUGGAAACCCAGCCCUCCAGACCAGCCUAGUUCAGGUAAGGCUAGUUUUCAGGCUGCUCCAGUGUUACAAUUGAUUAGUCAGACUAAAAAAACGUCUUCUGCAGGAAUACACUUCUCUGCUCUCUGUCACCUGAGCGAGAUGAUGUGUGUGUAUGGAGCUACAUCCAGGAGGCCAUUGGCCCAGCCUAGCAUAAAGUUCCCCUAACAGUUUCAAUAUAAAUCAGAAUCAGAAUCAGAAUCCGAAUCAGCUUUAUUUGCCAGGUAUGAGGAGACAUCCGAGGAAUUUUUCUUUGGAGCAUUGUUGCUCCCAAUGUGCUUACACAUACAAAACAACCAAAACAAAAAUCUACACACCAAUAUGUACACAAUAUAUGCAUACUCUAAACAAUAUAGAGGCAUGAGUGCAAUGAAGAGUUCAAUAAAAAUUAUUUAAAUGUGGAGCAUGGUGCAAAGGAUACUGGGAUGAAUAGUAUGUUAUUAUAUUACAAUAUGAACAGUAUGAACAUUAUGACCAGUUGUGAAAUAGGAAAUGAGAAUGAUGAAUGAAUAACAAAUAAUAAGUGAGACAUGAGAAUGAGAAUGAUGAAUAAUACUAACUAAGUGGAAUAAUGAGUCAUAAUUUCAGUCAGCAACACUCGUGUCAUAGAUUUAACCAUUUAUUAUGAUAACAAAUGGAAAUACAGCUAUGCUUGGCGCUGAUGGACCAGCCCAGCCGCACGCUCAGCUGAAACAGGGAGCGUCAUGCAACAAAAAAAACCAAAUCAGUAUAAACUAGUGAGUCAAUGAAAACAAUGAAAACCAUUUUUUAAACUCUGAACUUUGUGUCCCAUUUUUGAGCACAUUGUGCAGUCCCUCCAGAAAAACGCCAUUGCAUAACUCAAUGCAUAACCAGCCAAAGGCGCAUUUUUCAAACACGUAGCACUUUCAGCGCAUAAAUUGCCGAUUUCCGCGCAAAAUAAUGCGGGGCUUGCAUGAUUUCAUAAUCCCCAUUUUGGUAGCAGAAAGACGAAAAAUGGUGCAUUCAAUUCACACAAGAGCAGCCGUAUUUUCCUGUUUCCAUGGGAACGUUGUGGAGUGACGUAGUUACGCGACGAGACAAACGGUCUCUUUUUCAUCAAACCGCAAUUUUUGUGAGUUGCCGCAAUUUCAUUAAAUAAAAAUUGCAUAAAUAGCCCGCAUACUCCAUCUCUUUUUUUUAAGAAAACAUGCCGCAUAAUCAAGGAUUGUUGCCCACAACAAUCACAAAAAAUAAAAAUAAAUGGAUAUUUCUGGAAGGACUGA